CCCUUGAAAAUGGUUUAUUACACUCCUCCAUGCCGGGCCAAGGGGCAGUCCCUCCGGACGUGCCCCAUCGCCCAGCAGAGGUAGCACCAGGCCUCCCCCGUCGAAUAAUGCACCUGGUAGUGGGCUCCCUGGUAGGGGACCAGAAAGGACCCCUCGAGCGCCUCUCCGCCACACGCCGCCGGUGGCAGUUGAAGCUGCACUUGCCGGUGGAACAAGAGGACAUGACGGAGGGUGGGGUCCUUGCAGCUCAACGGGAGAGGGCUGAUGACGGAGAUGGGGCACCCCAGGGCAGAAAGGGCAGGCA